UACAGAGGGGGGCAAGCGUUGUUCGGAAUUACUGGGCGUAAAGGGCGCGUAGGCGGCCCUUCUAAGUCGAACGUGAAAUCCCCGGGCUCAACCCGGGAACUGCGUUCCGAUACUGGAAGGCUUGAAUCCGGGAGAGGGAUGCGGAAUUCCAGGUGUGCGGUGAAAUGCGUAGAUAUCUGGAGGAACACCGGUGGCGAAGG
rnacentral:rRNA from 1 species